GCUGAUGUAGCUCAGUCGGUAGAGCACCUCAUUGGUAAUGAGGAGGUAGGCAGUUCGAAUCUGCUCAUCAGCUCCA
rnacentral:tRNA from 6 species